CUGUAUGCAAGAAAAAUGAACACAUUGCUAUGAAUAACCAGAUGUUUGUGAGUGGCGAUUUGCAGGCUCCCUCUUUGAGCUCUGCUUUAAAGCAAGAGAAAAGUAUAGUAUAGGAGGCCCUGCAGGACAAUCCAUGCUACAGUUCUGUGAUCAUUUUGACAGGGUGUAAUAGUCUAGCAUGAAUGUUACUGAGUGACUAUAUUUGGAUGUACUUUAGGAUUGAUGGUGAUGACAUGCAGUUACUACAUAAUGACCUUCAGUUAGACUGUUUAUGACAGGAGCUGUGAAAAAGCAGGUUGAGUGUGUCUGAACUUCAGGGCAAUUGUCAUUAUUUAGGAGACAGUGACUUUUGAAGAUGUAGCUCUGAACUUCACCCCAGAAGAGUGGGAUUUGCUGAAUGAAUCCCAAAAGAAUCUCUACAGAGAUGUGAUAUGGGAAAAAUCUAUGAAUAUUAAUGCUACAGGAAGAAUAUGGUGUAGCCAACAAAUUAAAGAAGAGGACAAAAAUGGCUCAAGAAAUCUAAGCUGAUCGACACACAAAAGAGAAAGGGAACAUUCCUUAAGUUCAGUGUUUGAGUAAACUACUACAACAAAGAUGUGAUGAAGACAAUUAUUUGAGAAUUGAAGAGCAGCAAUAUAAAUGUAAUGAAGAUGUAGAGACCUGCAGUGAGUUCCAGUCCUUUCAGAAGCAUGAAAUGAGAAAGACUGGAGAGAGACUCUGUCAAUAUGGGCAAUGUGGGGAGGACAGCUCUGAUCUUAGGGAAUAAACUCACCCUGAGAAGAAAAAUUUUUCAGCAUUCAUGAAUUUAAUGUCACUUGGAUUCAUCAUGGAUCUCAGUUUCCUUCAUCAGAGGGCUAUCAUAUGAUGUGACAACCUGACAAGAAGGUUAAGUGCAAGGAAGGAUGAGAAAUGAAAAGAGACAAGAGAUUCACAAGAUCCUGAUUUUACCGUGGUUAUUAUUCAAAUGUCUGUAAUUAGUAGCACUGUUUGUAAACACAUUCAUAAACAGUUAAGUGUAUUCCAAAAUCAUAAAUAUAUAUUAAAUGUAAUGUGUAUGUUUCACUGUGUGUAAAAUAUUACUCUCUAAUAGAGGAAAAAUACAUUGAGGCAGUUAUUUCUACACACUUGAUUCCGAGGUAGAAUAUUGCUGGUAAAUUCUACAAUGUAAUUCCUAAUUUUACUCCCUUAUCUUACUGUUUUAUCAUUUUUUAAAAUAAAAUGGUUCAGACAUAG